CUGCGCACGGCCACAAUGGGGACACUUUCUGAGAAGUGCGUCAUUAGGUGAUUUCGUUGUUGGGUGGCCAUUGCAGAGUGUACUUCCACAAGCCUAGAAGUAUAGCCUAUGACACAUCAAGGCUAUAAGAUACCGCCUAUUUCUCUUAGGCUACAAACCUGUGCAGCAUGAUACUGUGCUGAACACUGGGCAAUUGUAACAAAAUGGUAAGUGUUUGUGUAUCUAAACAUAUUUACACAUAGAAAAGGUACAGUAAAAAUAUGGUAUUAUAAUCUUAUGGGACCAAGGUGAUAUAUGUGGUCUGUUGUUGACCAAAACAUUAUGUAGUGCAUGACUGUAAUUGUAUUUCUUAAAAGACUAUCUGAAACUAAUUAGUCAAUAUAUUGAGGUAGCAUUUAUGUAAUCUUGAUGGUGAGUACAUAGGUGUCUGUUAACUUAUUGUCUGUAUGUUUGAAAUAUUUUAUAAGUAAAAAUACAAUUUAGAAAAAGGUGGCAUUCAGGCAGUGAUUGCCCUAAAUGAAACCUAAAACGAUCCACAGAGCUUUAAAUGCUAUUAGAGGAAUAGGUUCAUUGAUUCCAUAAAUAUUUAUUGAUUGCCUUCCCUACAGUAAGUGUUGUGCUAGGUGCACAUGAAACAUUAAUUGAACCUUGCCCUUGGAUUCACUUGCGGGCCAUAUUACAGCUGGCAGUGAUUAUGAAGGUCCUUGGAAGUCCAGGUUAGUGUUACCUUAUGCUGAAUUCUGCUCUAUAUUAGGCCAUCUUGUAGGACCUUUUCAAGUGUACUUUAUCUUGAUAUAAGCCUGGAAAAGCACAUUAUAAUAGCUAAUAAGACCUAACGUAACUUAUAGAAUUCUAGGCAUAGCCCUAAGCCUUUGCAUGCAUUAUGUCUUUUUAUCCUCACCACAACCUUAUGAGGUAGGUACUAUCAUUACCCUCAUUUUAUAGAUAAAGAAACUGAGGCACAGGAGGUUAAUUAAUUUGAGUUACGUCACCUAGCUAACUAGUAGAGCCAAAAUGUUCACUUUGUCAACUUAACUCCAAUGCACAUCACUCUUAAGGUCUCUUUUGGUCUGUCUGUCCUUGUGUAGUUACAGUUGAACUUUAAGUUCUCUGGGCAAUGCUUCAGGACACCUGUUUUAUGUGUUAUGGAAGAGCAGGAUGCUGGGUCUGGAAAGGACCCUUAAAGUUCAUCUGGUCCAGUGGAAUGGUAAGGUGUGAGCUUCAUGAGAGCAGGAGGUAUCUUCAUUCCAUCAUUGAUGAGUCCCCCUGCCAGUUACAUAGUAGUAGCUCAGUAAGUAUUUAUUGAAAAAAUGAGUGUUGAAUAAUUUUGUUUUUUAAAGCAUUUAUUCAAACCUCCAAUAUUAAACAGAUCAUAUCAGAGAUGCUCUGGUUAAAGUUUUUAAGUGGAGGUGGGGCCCAGAGUUCCACAGUCUAGAGCCUGCUCUAGAACUACCCACAGCUUGAAGGCUACUCAUCUAAUCCAGAUCCCUGCAGUACAGAUGAAGAUGCCUGAUGUCCAAGGAGGUUUAGUGUCCUAUCAAAGACCACUCUGCUAAGGAGGAACAGAGCUGACUUUUCUGAUGCCGAGUCCCAAAGUUCUUUCCCCCACCACAACAUAAGGGGGUAGCCUGGCCCCCAGACUCCUUACAACUGAGAAUAUACUUAUAGGAAAACGACAGCUGCUUGGCACAUAGAUGGUUAUGUAAUUCAAGUUACUCAAAGACAACCUUAAUUUACAUGUGAUAGCUAAACAAAGAUUUUCUGUCUCAUAAAUUAAGAAUGAGCAAUUGCAUUGUCUACUACCACAUCCCAUGAAAUACCUCUAAACUCAGAGAACUCUUUGUUGGUUUUAAAAGAUACCAAGAUCCAUUUUAUUGCUUGUUUGAAGAUUAUUCAUUUUAUGGCUGAAGGGAGAUUAUGGCACUUUUGCUAUCCUCCAGCCUUUCCCCCAUCCUCCAAGAACCUUUCACCCCACCUGCCUUGCCAUGAUGAAAAUGUUACAGGAAACACUCAGCAAGGGGUUGCUCGGAAGAAACCUGUGUGAGAAUGUGUGCCUUCGUUUGGGUAUGAGAGGGUAUCUACCAGCAGGGAUGCCCAUCCAAUUAUCUCUCCCGAAGGCGCACUCCCUAUUCUUUUAGGAGCAUAUUAAUCAUUUUUACUCUUCCACAGGCAUUUCCAGUGUUGUCAAAACAGUGCCUGCCUGCAUCUGUUUUCUUCAAUUGGCCUGGGUUCCAGGGAGUGUUUGUGAGAGAGGAGAGAACAAGAGAUUGACAGUCUUGUGUUGACAUUUUGUGGCUGUUUGGAAAUGAAAACAAUCCAGGUCUGAUGUUGUAAUUCCUCCUUUUAUGGGCAAAAAGCAAUGUCUCAGCAUGAAUGAGCAUAACCGAACACACUAGGACACACCCCAGACACACUGUGUACUCCCGGGACACUCACCAUGCUUUUAGUUACUGCUGUUGUAGAAUGAAAGGCAGAAAAGGUCUUUUAUUGAGCCAAAGAAUCAAGAAAUCUUUUGAUUCUCCAUACCCAAAUCUCCUACUCCAGUGGGAUGAAUAAAAUGUCAAAGAGAAAAAAAAAUCCUGAUUUUUUAAUUUACUAUAUAUAUAUGUCUUUUUUUCUUCUUUUCAAACUAUA
rnacentral:lncRNA from 10 species